ACGUCAAGUCCUCAUGGCCCUUACGGGCUGGGCUACACACGUGCUACAAUGGCGACUACAGUGGGAAGCGAAGGAGCGAUCCGGAGCCAAUCCAUAAAAGUCGUCUCAGUUCGGAUUGCAGUCUGCAACUCGGCUGCAUGAAGUCGGAAUCGCUAGUAAUCGCGGAUCAGCACGCCGCGGUGAAUACGUUCCCGGGCCUU
rnacentral:rRNA from 1 species